UCUCUCGCGCGCGCUGGCGCCCCCUCCCCGCCACGUGACCGGCGGCCCGACAGGACCCGAAAGCUGCGCCCCGCUAUGCAACGCCGACCGCGUUGCCGCACUGCUGUGGGGGACUCGCCCUUUCGGCCAGCCGUCGGAGGACCUCGGGGUGACCUACUCGCAUCUGGGACACCAACGUCGAUCUCGCCCUCAGUCUCUGCCAGAGAAAAGGGGGAAACCGCUAAGGACGGAUGGGGCGUGUCCCCCGGCUCCUGACUCAGCCACAUCACCAGGAACCAGAAUCUGGAGAAGUUACAUGCCGGCAACAACAGGAAGCACAAAGCCAUAAACUGCAAACAGGCAACAAACAUCAGGGCAACCAUCCACGUAGAAGAUUAGUAUUUCAGGGACUUCCCUGGUGGCGCAGUGGAUAAGAAUCUGCCUGCCA